AUUUUCUUAGUGAUAGCCCUGUGUCAUUACAGUUACAAACAAAAACUGUUUUGUAAGACUUGUUGUUUUUGUUUGUUUUGCUGAUGCAGCCAGAGAAUG
rnacentral:miRNA from 1 species